rnacentral:rRNA from 1 species
AUGCUAGGUUUCCGUGAAUUUGAUGAUUGCUCUUUAAACUUGCACCUCGCGGAUUCCACCAUUAAGAAACCUAUGGGAAGGAUUAAUGAUGUUAUUAUUGUUGCAAAUAGGAACUAUGUGCCCAUAGAUUUUAUUGUUCUUGAUAUAUAUUGCAAUCCUUCAUGUCCUAUUAUUCUUGAUAGACCUUUCCUUAGAACGAUUGGUGCAAUUAUUGAUAUGAAAGAUGGAAAUAUUAGAUUCCAAUUUCCAUUAAGAAAAGGUAUGGAACACUUUACUAGGAAGAAAAUAAAAUUACCUUAUGAAUCUAUUAUGAGAUCCACCUAUGAAUUGAAUGCCAAAUAUGGUAAUACCUAG